UACGUAGGGUGCGAGCGUUGUCCGGAAUUACUGGGCGUAAAGAGCUCGUAGGUGGUUUGUCGCGUUGUUCGUGAAAACUCACAACUCAAUUGUGGGCGUGCGGGCGAUACGGGCAGACUGGAGUACUGCAGGGGAGACUGGAAUUCCUGGUGUAGCGGUGGAAUGCGCAGAUAUCAGGAGGAACACCGAUGGCGAAGGCAGCUCGCUGGGACGGUACUGACGCUGAGACGCGAAAGCGUGGGGAGCGAACAGG
rnacentral:rRNA from 1 species